rnacentral:miRNA from 1 species
GUUGUAGUGUCUGUAUAAGUCCAUC